UACAGAGGGUGCGAGCGUUGUCCGGAAUCACUGGGCGUAAAGGGCGCGUAGGCGGCCAGCGCAAGUCAGUUGUGAAAUCUCCGGGCUUAACUCGGAACGGUCAACUGAUACUGCGCGGCUAGAGUGCAGAAGAGGCAACUGGAAUUCUCGGUGUAGCGGUGAAAUGCGUAGAUAUCGAGAGGAACACCUGCGGCGAAGGCGGGUUGCUGGGCUGACACUGACGCUGAUGCGCGAAAGCCAGGGGAGCGAACGGG
rnacentral:rRNA from 1 species